UGCGUAGGGUGCGAGCGUUGUCCGGAUUUAUUGGGCGUAAAGAGCUCGUAGGCUGUUUGUCGCGUCGGCCGUGAAAUCUCCACGCUUAACGUGGAGCGUGCGGUCGAUACGGGCAGACUUGAGUUCGGUAGGGGAGACUGGAAUUCCUGGUGUAGCGGUGAAAUGCGCAGAUAUCAGGAGGAACACCGGUGGCGAAGGCGGGUCUCUGGGCCGAUACUGACGCUGAGGAGCGAAAGCGUGGGGAGCGAACAGG
rnacentral:rRNA from 1 species